UGAACGCUGGCGGCGUGCUUAACACAUGCAAGUCGAACGAACCUUCGGGUUAGUGGCGGACGGGUGAGUAACGCGUGGGAAUCUGCCCUCAGGAGGGGGAUAACGGUUGGAAACGGCCGCUAAUACCCCAUAUGCCGAGAGGUGAAAUGAAUUUCGCCUGAGGAUGAGCCCGCGUCUGAUUAGCUAGUUGGUGAGGUAAGAGCUCACCAAGGCAUCGAUCAGUAGCUGGUCUGAGAGGAUGAUCAGCCACACUGGGACUGAGACACGGCCCAGACUCCUACGGGAGGCAGCAGUGGGGAAUUUUCCGCAAUGGGCGAAAGCCUGACGGAGCAACGCCGCGUGAGGGAUGAAGGCCUCUGGGCUGUAAACCUCUUUUAUCAAGGAAGAAGAUCUGACGGUACUUGAUGAAUAAGCCACGGCUAAUUCCGU
rnacentral:rRNA from 1 species